AUUUACCGUAACAGUUCGGCUGACGAAAGCCUACCCGAGGGGGUGGUGUAAAUCAUGAUGCUUGAGUUGAAUGA
rfam:Bacillus sp. SA1-12 scf7180000003381, whole genome shotgun sequence.